AGGCCCGACGCCAGCUCGGCGGUGAAAAGCCCGGCGUAAACAGCAAAAAAAACAGCCCCGAAAGUGGCGCUAAACGGUUAAAAAGAGCGUGGAGGGAGAGCAGGGUCUGGAGGGAGAGCAGAUAAACCUUUUUCACUGAAGUACUGGACCUCACGUAACCCAGGCAGGACAGAUGUUACCAAUAUGGGAUCAUUUCACUCCAGCGCUCAUACGCUAAAACUUCAUUACUUAUUGAUGGAAAGACACCACACCAUGCGAGCUGAGGGCUCAGAUGGCCACAGGCAUCCUACUCAGACAUCUUUGCUGCAGAGUAACUUCAGAUGUUCCUGGACUUUGAAAGAAUAAUCGUCACCAAACAGACGUAGGAAACUGAUGGAUAUCCAUGUGAAAUUACUUAGCCGCUACCACCUAGCAGUUUAUUGAAAGAAGUGAGAGGAAACGUUAGUGCUGCUUGAACCUGGAUCUAUGGCACUGACUACAAGGAAUACUAAUUUUAUACUGUGAUACAAUCGUACAGAGUGAUCCAAAUAUAUAAUUUUGCAAUCUAUAUUUAUACUUGUUCUACAAACUAACAGAAUUUGUCUGCUGGGAGUAAGCUCUGUUCUGAAUUUUCCUAUAUGUUCAGCUUAGAACCUUGAAGCAUAUAUGGGUGUCUCAAGGUUGGUCCAAGCCUGUUUGCACACUUACCAACUACUUUUUCCUCCUCUUUUUUUCUUCUAUUUGUGCAAACCCACUUGGAGUGAGCCAGAAGAAUAUUUUUUGUGCUUUUUUUUCCCUACAACCAGAAUUGUAUCGGAAAUCUUUUCCACGUCCUGGUGGUUGUAAGAGGUCUUGUUCUGUUUUUCUUUCAUAUUCAAGUGUGUAUUAUUAGUUUGUUUGUUUUUUCCCUAUAUCUUGAAGCUCAUCAAGCCAUAAAUCAACUUCUUAGAAGUCCUCUGGUGCUGGAGCAUGACAAAGACACUGCAAAGCUGCCCUACCUGGGCAAAUGGAUGUUUUGCAUCAUGAUGAAAUCCAUUAGUGGCAUGAAACAAAUGUUGCACUGGUUUGAAUCACAGUAAACAUUGCUGGGAACAGGGGAGAAUAUAGAAUUUAAUAUAUAUAGAAUAUAAAAUAGCAUUCAAAACCUCUUACCAUACACCCAGCAUAGGUUGCUUGGACCUGAGAUGGAUCUGAAGAAGUAAAUGUGCAGAUAUUAACAAGCAAGUAAAUGGACAUAUUUCUUGUAUGGACACCUAUCCUGCAGCUAUAAUAGUAACAAAAGGGCAUUGUUAUCAGUCUUAGAGAGAGGAUUCUACAGGGUGUGUCUGUACAUCUAUGGAUAUAUAUAUUUGUAAAUACACAUGCAUAUACACCAACUGUACAGAGUCUUCUUUAAAUAACUGAUCUUUUCAGUAGCAUGAAUGCAGAUGAAGCAGUUUGAGUAAAAGCCUAAAGCCUUUUAUUUUCCCAUUUAAAGGGACUUUCCUCAAGGGUGUAAUUGUCUCAUUGGGCAACUAACAGGAAAACAACUGGUACCCUGGAGAUGCUGAGAACUUAGAAUCCACAUUGAGAUUUCAGCCUAGCUACUAAACUUUCCAUGAUGUCAGCUGCAUCAGACCUGUGGUGAAGUUUGUCUGCAGGAAAUACCUUCAAGUACAUAAAAUAAUCUGCUUAUCUAGCUACAUGUCAGGUUCCUGUAGAAGAUUCUUCGAUCCUUGACAUAGCAGUUCAGAAAGUGGGCACAGAUGUCACAGUGAAGUAGCUACCGAAUGUUGAGUUACUGAGCAGGGUGAUGCUCUUUCAGAGAGUUAUACUUAUUUCAUUGCUGCAGUUGCAGUAAAGCUUUGGUGCUGCUGCAGAUUCAAGAAAACAUAAACUGCAUUCAUAAGGCAAAAAUAUUUGGAGUAAGGGACUCAUAUCACUCUCUUUGGAGAAUCUAUGUUUAGCCAAACAAAGUCUAUUUGCGGUAAAGGAAAAGGAUGAGGCAUGCUUAGAAAAUUCAGUAGUCAUUCAUUUAAUUGCAAGAGAUAAUAAAAUGAACAGAUUCAAUAAUGGUUACUUCCUGUAUUGCAAAAGUAAGCAUUUAUUUCAGAAAGUAUACUGGAACUAAGCAAAAUAGUCUGAAAAAUGGGUAGACUUUCACCAUCCAUGUCAAGCAAAAUUGGCAACUGAAUUCAGCCCAACCGCUCUGUUAAUGCGCUGGAAGAGAACUCAGUGAAGAAAAAAAGUACACCAAUCUUACUGUUUCAGAAGAAAAAAUCUGUGAGUGUUAUAGAAGAUGUAUAGAGGAUAUUUAUAGACUGUAUGACAAUUUCUCCUAAAAAUGCUAAAAAGAAUUGAGAUGUUAGCAUGCAGGACUCUUAUCUACCUUGCUGUUCAGCUGAUGAUAAGAAAAGAGACUUGAAACAAAUCUACUUUCUCAGCUCUCUGAAAAUUCACAUCUUUUGAACAUGAGAGCGAGUCCUCUAAUUUAUUAAAAAAUAAAAAGAACUUUCUUGUGACCUCUGAGACUCGGGCGCAGCAAACAUCCCAAAUCUCAAACCAGUUGUCAAAGAUUCUAAUUCUGCAAGACCCUUUCUUGUGAGCACCUGUUCAAAAAAGAUGCACUUAUAAAAUUCAUGUUUCCAAGCAACAAAACAAAACAAAGUAAAACAUCUCUGCCAGGGGAACUGACAGAGGCAGUGGCCUCAUUAGUGAAGUCUGGUUUUCUGAGGCCAAGCAAUACUAUUCCAAGAGUUCAGGGGAGAUUUUAAGUUACUUGAACACAUGACACGGAGGAGUUUUACCCUUGUCUUAACAGAGACAUAAUGUCACUGUGCAUGCUUGAAUGCUGAAGCUGGUUAUAAAAAACCAAACCAAAAGCAGACAACCUCUUGGCACGUAGUGCCACAGCAAAUGGUGCCAUGGAGAGAAAGGUGAGCACGCUCUCCAGCCUUACUACCCGUGAGGUAGGCAACUUCACAACUGCAACUUCUACAACUACAGGACAGUCGUGUUGGUAAUUCCCCCACACAGCAGAGAAGCAACGGUUUAUGGCAGCGGGCUUGAAAUUCUAGAGUCGGAGACCGAUCUUUUCAGUUUUAUUCUUGGCUUAGCUAUGGAGUCUGAUUUUGAACAAAUUAUUUAGUUCCUUUGUUUUAUGUGCACCGGUGAGGAAUGGACAUAAUAACGUGCAAUGGUAUUGCAAACUGAAAACAGUAACACCUUCAACGUAUUUUGAGAUUUUAGAGGUUGGAAGAGAUGAAGAAAUUGUAGCUAUUGUUGCUGCUGUUACUGAAUUCUGUUUGUCAGCUCUAGAAAUAGAAUUUGAAAUCCAUUGGCAGGGAUAUGGGACAAGUUACAACCUUUUUUUUGGUGGGAUUCACGUGUGGAAAUAUGUGCUGGCUCAAGCCAGCAGGAAGUCUCUCUUUGGGAAGGAUUAACAUGUGAGUAAAUAAACAGCAGGCAAAACUAGUUUCCUAUACAAAGACAAUUACACAUCAUGGAAUAAAUUAAGCCCUUCUACAUGUAUAUUUUUGCUUAAACGAAACUAUUUAAAACAAUUUUGAUGGAAAAUAUUUUGAAAACCUUAGAACACAGAUUUGGACUAGUGUUUUAGAGGGUUAAGGCAAGCUUUCAAAAACUAGAUAAUCAAAGUAACAUAAACCACAGGCUUUCCCCACUGAUAACAGGUCUCCAUGAACAUGCACAAAACUAGGAAGAGAACUCACAAACAGGCAAUGUGAUUAGUUAUUUCUCCAUAAGCCUGUAGCUUUCAAUUAGCUGAACAAACUAGUUUUGGAUAAAGUCUAUUCUUAGGCGAUUAUUAUGUGCUGAAUUUUGAUGCUUGAUUGAAGACAUUUUUUACUUGCGAACUGUAACAGCUGGAAACCAGGUUUUAUAUUAUAAUGUGAACAACAUGCUAACCAUUUUUUUACGUAAGAAAGCUCAGCAACAGAGCUAUAAUAUUUCCUGUGUGUGUUUAGGCUGAGUUAUGCUGUUAUAUUACUGAUGUGUAUUAUGCUAAUCCAAUAAAACAUAAAGACUAUUGUAUCUUUUGUAUCUUCUACCACACUGGUACCAGUAGGGAUUUGCAUUGGUAAUAUAACAGCAGCAGAACAAUCUAGAGAAUUGUUGAAGUUUCCUAUUUUGAGGUUAUGGGUACAAGCCUACAAGUCAGUAAAAUUCCCCACUAACUUCAGUGACUUCUGGAAGGUUUAGAACUGGAAAAAAAUACAGCACCAUGAAAGACAGACACAGCAAUAUGCUAUUCAUCACUUAAUUAAAAACACAGCAUAUAUGGUGACAAUUUCAAAUAAGUGAACUUACUGCAGUAUUUUGAACAGCUUAGAUUACUGGAUAGCAUUUUUAAGAAUAGUUUUCUUUCCUUUGAAUUUAGUAUCUUAAAAUAAGUGAUCAAGUAGUACUGGAAAUAAACUAGUGCAGACCACACAGACAGAGCAGAAUACUGCCCUUGGAUCAUUUUUCCAUGUUCAUACCUUCUACUUAAUUUUUUGGACAUACGGAUUACAGACUACCAUGAUAAUAUGCCUGAACAUAAUUUAAAGAGUAUGUCAGAAGAGAAAAAAAUAGAAGACACCCCCAAAACCAAUUCCUAUCCAUAACAUUUUAACAGUAUUAGAAACUUAAGAAGUAAAUGUACUUCUCACAAUUUAAAAUGUGAGUUUGCUUUUUUGCAUCUCAUUUGGUUUUAUCAUCAGAUUAUUCAAUUGCAGUUUUUGCAUCUCCCAUAGUUCUUUACUGGGUGUGUGUGUGUGUGUUAAAUCCUCAUAAGAAAUGUAAUACAAAUAACCAGGAAUUACAUUUUCAGUAUUUUUAAUAAAAUCUUUUUCCACUGUCAAAAUUAAUGUUGGAGUCUCAGCUAAAAGCAUUAUGUGGUUUAUCAAUACGCAGUAGUCAGCAGGUCUACAUCUAGAUAGAGUAUCACCCUCGGGCAUUUGUUAUUGACUGUACUGCUAUUUAUUAUUUAUUAAUCUGCUACUGUGAGCAUC